GACGAACCGUGCGAACGUUGUUCGGAUUCACUGGGCUUAAAGGGCGCGUAGGCGGGCGACCAAGUCAGGGGUGAAAUCUUUCGGCCCAACCGGAAAAGUGCCCCUGAUACUGGCCGCCUCGAGGGGGGUAGGGGCAUGCGGAACUUCCGGUGGAGCGGUGAAAUGCGUAGAUAUCGGAAGGAACGCCGGUGGCGAAAGCGGCGUGCUGGACCCCUUCUGACGCUGAGGCGCGAAAGCGUGGGUAGCAAACAGG
rnacentral:rRNA from 1 species